CGAUACAGGGUGACAGCCCCGUACACAAAAAUGCACAUGCUGUGAGCUCGAUGAGUAGGGCGGGACACGUGGUAUCCUGUCUGAAUAUGGGGGGACCAUCCUCCAAGGCUAAAUACUCCUGACUGACCGAUAGUGAACCAGUACCGUGAGGGAAAGGCGAAAAGAACCCCGGCGAGGGGAGUGAAAAAGAACCUGAAACCGUGUACGUACAAGCAGUGGGAGCACGCUUAGGCGUGUGACUGCGUACCUUUUGUAUAAUGGGUCAGCGACUUAUAUUCUGUAGCAAGGUUAACCGAAUAGGGGAGCCGAAGGGAAACCGAGUCUUAACUGGGCGUUAAGUUGCAGGGUAUAGACCCGAAACCCGGUGAUCUAGCCAUGGGCAGGUUGAAGGUUGGGUAACACUAACUGGAGGACCGAACCGACUAAUGUUGAAAAAUUAGCGGAUGACUUGUGGCUGGGGGUGAAAGGCCAAUCAAACCGGGAGAUAGCUGGUUCUCCCCGAAAGCUAUUUAGGUAGCGCCUCGUGAAUUCAUCUCCGGGGGUAGAGCACUGUUUCGGCAAGGGGGUCAUCCCGACUUACCAACCCGAUGCAAACUGCGAAUACCGGAGAAUGUUAUCACGGGAGACACACGGCGGGUGCUAACGUCCGUCGUGAAGAGGGAAACAACCCAGACCGCCAGCUAAGGUCCCAAAGUCAUGGUUAAGUGGGAAACGAUGUGGGAAGGCCCAGACAGCCAGGAUGUUGGCUUAGAAGCAGCCAUCAUUUAAAGAAAGCGUAAUAGCUCACUGGUCGAGUCGGCCUGCGCGGAAGAUGUAACGGGGCUAAACCAUGCACCGAAGCUGCGGCAGCGACACUGUGUGUUGUUGGGUAGGGGAGCGUUCUGUAAGCCUGUGAAGGUGUGCUGUGAGGCAUGCUGGAGGUAUCAGAAGUGCGAAUGCUGACAUAAGUAACGAUAAAGCGGGUGAAAAGCCCGCUCGCCGGAAGACCAAGGGUUCCUGUCCAACGUUAAUCGGGGCAGGGUGAGUCGACCCCUAAGGCGAGGCCGAAAGGCGUAGUCGAUGGGAAACAGGUUAAUAUUCCUGUACUUGGUGUUACUGCGAAGGGGGGACGGAGAAGGCUAUGUUGGCCGGGCGACGGUUGUCCCGGUUUAAGCGUGUAGGCUGGUUUUCCAGGCAAAUCCGGAAAAUCAAGGCUGAGGCGUGAUGACGAGGCACUACGGUGCUGAAGCAACAAAUGCCCUGCUUCCAGGAAAAGCCUCUAAGCAUCAGGUAACAUCAAAUCGUACCCCAAACCGACACAGGUGGUCAGGUAGAGAAUACCAAGGCGCUUGAGAGAACUCGGGUGAAGGAACUAGGCAAAAUGGUGCCGUAACUUCGGGAGAAGGCACGCUGAUAUGUAGGUGAAGUCCCUCGCGGAUGGAGCUGAAAUCAGUCGAAGAUACCAGCUGGCUGCAACUGUUUAUUAAAAACACAGCACUGUGCAAACACGAAAGUGGACGUAUACGGUGUGACGCCUGCCCGGUGCCGGAAGGUUAAUUGAUGGGGUCAGCGCAAGCGAAGCUCUUGAUCGAAGCCCCGGUAAACGGCGGCCGUAACUAUAACGGUCCUAAGGUAGCGAAAUUCCUUGUCGGGUAAGUUCCGACCUGCACGAAUGGCGUAAUGAUGGCCAGGCUGUCUCCACCCGAGACUCAGUGAAAUUGAACUCGCUGUGAAGAUGCAGUGUACCCGCGGCAAGACGGAAAGACCCCGUGAACCUUUACUAUAGCUUGACACUGAACAUUGAGCCUUGAUGUGUAGGAUAGGUGGGAGGCUUAGAAGUGUGGACGCCAGUCUGCAUGGAGCCGACCUUGAAAUACCACCCUUUAAUGUUUGAUGUUCUAACGUUGACCCGUAAUCCGGGUUGCGGACAGUGUCUGGUGGGUAGUUUGACUGGGGCGGUCUCCUCCUAAAGAGUAACGGAGGAGCACGAAGGUUGGCUAAUCCUGGUCGGACAUCAGGAGGUUAGUGCAAUGGCAUAAGCCAGCUUGACUGCGAGCGUGACGGCGCGAGCAGGUGCGAAAGCAGGUCAUAGUGAUCCGGUGGUUCUGAAUGGAAGGGCCAUCGCUCAACGGAUAAAAGGUACUCCGGGGAUAACAGGCUGAUACCGCCCAAGAGUUCAUAUCGACGGCGGUGUUUGGCACCUCGAUGUCGGCUCAUCACAUCCUGGGGCUGAAGUAGGUCCCAAGGGUAUGGCUGUUCGCCAUUUAAAGUGGUACGCGAGCUGGGUUUAGAACGUCGUGAGACAGUUCGGUCCCUAUCUGCCGUGGGCGCUGGAGAACUGAGGGGGGCUGCUCCUAGUACGAGAGGACCGGAGUGGACGCAUCACUGGUGUUCGGGUUGUCAUGCCAAUGGCACUGCCCGGUAGCUAAAUGCGGAAGAGAUAAGUGCUGAAAGCA
rnacentral:rRNA from 1 species